rnacentral:lncRNA from 1 species
UAAUAUGGUGUUGAAGAUAGUGGUUCAUCCCACUUAGGUUUCAAGGAUGAAAGGUUGGAAUAUGGGCAAUCAUUUCCUGGAGAUGGUAAAUUUACUAUUAGCAGGCAGAAUUGGAAGGGAAAUAUUGUGCUGAUGUUGGUGGUUCAUGCCACUUGGGUUUCAAGGAUGAAAGGUUGGAACAUGGACAAUCAUUUCCUGGAGAUGGUAAUGGUAAUUUUUCUGUUGGCAGGCAUAAUUGGAACAUGAAAUUUAUGGAUGCUACCUCUGCUGCUCAAGUAGCGGCUGACUUUACAGAACAUGUAAGCCUAGCUGCCGGAGCUGUUGUACAACUUUCAAGGCAAUAAAUCAUUGAUGAACAUGGGCAAUUAUUUCCUGGAGAUGGUAAUUUUUCUGUUGGCAGGCAGAAUUGGAACAUGAAAUUUAAGGAUGCUACCUCUGUUGCUCAAGCAGCGGCUGAGUUUGCAGAACAUGCACGCCUAGCUGUCAGAUAUGUUGUAGGACUUUCAAGGAAAUAUUGUGUUGAUGAUGGUGGUUCAUGCCACUUAGGUUUCAAGGAUGAAAGGUUGGAACAUGGGCAAUCAUUUCCUGGAGAUGGUAAUUUUUCUGUUGGCAGGCAGAAUUGGAACAUGAAAUUUAAGGAUUCUACCUCUGUUGCUCAAGUAGCGACUGAGUUUGCAGAACAUGCAAGCCUAGCUGCCAGAGCUAUUGUAGGACUUUCAAGGCAAUAUUGUGUUGAUGAUGGUGGUUCAUGCCACUUGGGUUUCAAGUAUGAAAUGUUGGAAUAUUGUCAAUUAUUUCCUGGAGAUGGUAAUUUUUCUAUUGGCAGGCAGAAUUGGAGCAUGAAAUUUAAGGAUGCUACCUCUGCUUCUCAAGCAGCGGCUCAUAUUGCAGAACAUGCAAACCUAGCUGCCAGAGCUGUUGUAGAACUUUCAAGGCAAGAUUGUGUUGAUGAUGGU